GGAAGGGGGGGCGUCUACCAUGCAAGUCGAACGAUGACGCCCAGCUUGCUGGGUGGAUUAGUGGCGAACGGGUGAGUAACACGUGAGCAACCUGCCCCUGACUCUGGGAUAAGCGCUGGAAACGGCGUCUAAUACUGGAUACGAACAAGAAUCGCAUGGUUACUUGUUGGAAAGAUUUUUCGGUUGGGGAUGGGCUCGCGGCCUAUCAGCUUGUUGGUGAGGUAAUGGCUCACCAAGGCGUCGACGGGUAGCCGGCCUGAGAGGGUGACCGGCCACACUGGGACUGAGACACGGCCCAGACUCCUACGGGAGGCAGCAGUGGGGAAUAUUGCACAAUGGGCGCAAGCCUGAUGCAGCAACGCCGCGUGAGGGAUGACGGCCUUCGGGUUGUAAACCUCUUUUAGCAGGGAAGAAGCGAGAGUGACGGUACCUGCAGAAAAAGCACCGGCUAACUACGUGCCAGCAGCCGCGGUAAUACGUAGGGUGCAAGCGUUAUCCGGAAUUAUUGGGCGUAAAGAGCUCGUAGGCGGUUUGUCGCGUCUGCUGUGAAAUCUGGGGGCUCAACCCCCAGCCUGCAGUGGGUACGGGCAGACUAGAGUGCGGUAGGGGAGAUUGGAAUUCCUGGUGUAGCGGUGGAAUGCGCAGAUAUCAGGAGGAACACCGAUGGCGAAGGCAGAUCUCUGGGCCGUAACUGACGCUGAGGAGCGAAAGGGUGGGGAGCAAACAGGCUUAGAUACCCUGGUAGUCCACCCCGUAAACGUUGGGAACUAGUUGUGGGGUCCAUUCCACGGAUUCCGUGA
rnacentral:rRNA from 1 species